UGGUAGGAGGCAGAGACCCACCUCUGUGGAGUGAUUCACCACUGCUCCACUAAUUAUGCGUCAUUCCUACUGUAGAUUGCAGGGCUAAAUCGCUACAAAACCAAAUCUGAGGAACCUGGAGGCUAAUUGGGCUGCAAACAUCCCUUUGCCAAAGCCCAGAGGCAGAAGAUACACGGGCAAUUAAGUUCUGAUGGGCCAACACAGGCAACCGCUGUUCUUCUCCCUGUCCACAAUGGCCAGGCUCAACAUGCCAGCUGCAGCACACAGCAGACCCAGAGCACGCCCACUUAAUUCCCAUAAGCAAUUGCCUGGGAUGUGCACUCAGCAGCCACCUAUUCUUGGCAUUUGGACCAGUUAGGCGUCGCCCUGAAGCAGCCACUGCCCACUGUAAGAAGCCUCUUGACCAAGACUGAUUUCUGCUGAGUAUUUCAGGGGAACCAGCUGCCCACUCCAGCCAGGUGGAUCAUGGGGACCCUCAGCUUCUGCAGUGAGGCCACCUGAUGUGUGAUAGUCAUGGCUGCCUUUGGAAGUACAGACCAGUCACCAUAGGCCUUUGGCUGAGCAUCAGUCAAGUGGCUCACCCUGCUCGCCUCGCAAAGCUCCGGGUCUCAGCCCUAAGUCUCUUCACACCUCUGUCCCAUGGAUCUCUGUCACUCCAACAGCAUGGAAAAUCACCUCUAGGCAGACGGCUUCCCGACCGUCAUCUCUCCAAAGCGCUCACACACAGACGACUUCUCCUUCCUGGCCUGAUCUCUCGCUUUCCUUGUUCUUCUUUUUCUACAGCUUGAAAUUUGCAAACCUGCUGUCAAAGUAUGGCCACCUUUGAAGAACCAAGAUAUAUCCAGGUCAUACUUUCUAACUCCCCUGGCCUGGGGUAACCUCCAUACUGUCUCAUGACCCAGAUACAUUAGCUGUCAUGCUUCAAUUCUAGGAGUACAAGUCAAUGUCCCCACAGGGUGUUGCAAGAGAAUGCAGGCUGGGGAGGUGCUGGAGCAGAAGUCGACUUGGUCAAAUAAGUGCAACCCAUCAGAGCUAGGCCAGUGACUAUGGAAAAUCAGAGAAAUCAUUGAGUCAAUUCACUGUGUGUGUGUGUGUGUGUGUGUGUGUGUGUGUGUGUGUGUGUGUGUGUAAGAUUGUAGAAUAGGCUGGGCUGGCUGACUAGGGAGUCUGAGGGAUUGGCUUUUCCCCACCUCUACAGUGUUAGGGUUGCAAGCAUGCUCCACCACUUCUGGAUUAUGUUAAUGUGGGUGUUGGAAAGGGAACUGAAGCCCUCAAUCCUGCAUGGCAGGUACUCAGCCAUCGCCCCAGCCCAGCUCCAUUAUCCCCUUCAGCUGUAGUUACAGACACACGUGACACCUCGUGGGACAACUGAAUUUUUUAUUUGAAUCUCGCACUUAUUUGGCUUUAGAUUUUUGUCUCCCCAGUUAAAUUAUCAAUUUCCAAAGAAAAGAUGACACAAAGGUUUUGCUUAGACACUGCUGGCUCUUUCUGUCAACUUGACAUGAACCUAGAUACAUCUGGGAAGAGAGAAUUUCAGUUGCGGAAUUGCCUGCAUCAGAUCGGCCUUUGGGGUAUGUUCUUGGUUGCUAAUUAAUGUAGGAGGUCCAGCCCACUGCGGGUGGUGCCCACCCUAGGAAGGUGGGCCUGGCCUGUAUAAGAAAACUAGAUGAGCAGGACAGAGGAAGCAGGCCAGUGAGCAGUAUUCUUACAUGGUUUCUGCUUCAAGCGUGUGCCCUGAGUUCUGCCAGGGAUGGACUAUAACUUGUAAGUUGAAAUAUAUCCUGUCCUGCCCAAGCUGUUUUUGAUCAGUAUUUUAUCACAGAAACACAGAAAGGGCAAUUAAAUCAUAUUUCCCCAGAAGACACUUGGAGUUGGUUCCACUCACCCUCAAGACUUAACCAUCUAUGCAGUCUUACUAUCAUACAAAGGCGGCACUAAAUUGAGUAACCGUGGUAAAAUGUAGAAGAGAGCUUCCCCUGGGGGCUGUUUGGACAAGUAGAGAAGGGAGUGUGCCAAGCAUAUGGACUUCCUUGACAACAGGAGGAGGAAGAAGAGAAGGAGGAAGGGGAGGGGGAGGAGGAAGAAGAGGAGGAACAUUGGGAGAAGAAGCAGUAGUAUUUUAGAAUAACCCAUAUUGAAUGAGUUGCCUUUACUAACAUGUGACCUAAGGACAGGUCUAUGUUCCCUUGUGGACUAGAACAUGACUCCAUAAGCAACACUAUAUAAAAGUGGCCAUUGUAUUGGAAAACAGGGGGAUUGUGCUUGGCAAACAGUAUCGGUAUGUGUCUGGAAAGGUUGAUGUCUGAAAACAAACAAGCAGGAUACUGAUGAUCUCCAAGCAAGGAUGUGCCAUCCUAUAGAAGCACUGGGUGCAGAAAUGCCAGUGUGGGUGACCGCUGCUCUGCAAGGUAAAGGGAGCCUUUGAAAACUAGAUGUCAAAGUGAAUGAUUCCUUCCCUGCCUACUUGCUUUCUUCAUUACACAGAUGUGUGUGGCUUGGUCAAUUUAACAAAAUGAGUUAUUUUCUGUGGUCAACACAAUGGAAACCUAGCAUAAAUCAAUCACUGUUGGUGUAACGUAACUAAAUAAUAAGAGCCCGGGAACAGAAAAUGAAAGAGGCUAAAGCAACAUGUUUUUAGGAGAGCAGCGAAGUCCAGAGUGGAGCAGGACAGGAGAGGCCAAACCUGAAAACCAGCUCUCUUUCCUCACCAGUGGGUUCUGGAACUAGCCAAUGGCACAGACACUCUGAGGAGGCAGUCCCUCAGCACUCUGCUAACACGGCACCCCACAGUUGUGACGAUAACAGACCUGUAAUAUGUGCGAUUUGUUGAAUAGUUGGGCUUCUUAUUGCAUAGCCUAGAUGGUUUUUUUCCUAUAUCCCCCCGCCUCCUUCCAUGUCUUCAUCAUCUGUUAGGCUGGGAUCUCUGCUGUAAUUAUGAAGAAAGUUGUUCCAGUGUCUAGCUGAGGCCCCACUGCAUUGCUGGAGUGAUCACUCAUGAUGGCAGAGGCUGGAAGAAUACCGAGAAUGGCCAAGAGGAGGGAAAUUUCACAGACAUAUGGCCUGCUUGCCACCUGAGGCAGAGGGACUCUGUCUUUCAUUUUAACACAUAAAAUAUGUGUUGAGAUGGUGAUAUUUUUCAGGCAUAAAUCUUGAACACUGAAAGUUCAAUCUUGUUCUCUCAACUCUGGAGUUAUUUCAGGCUAUGCCACCACCAGAGGCUCCAGUACAACACAGGACAUGUGGGAUUUCAGAAGGGGAGGCCAGGAGAGCCAGGAAGUCACCACCAAGGAAAAACUAGUAAAUUUCCAUCAGCUGUCUGCAAGACUUUUGUAUCUUGGGUUAAUUACUGUGACAGCUAAGGAGCAGAAACCGCUAAGCAAUGAAGGAAACCACAAGAUCAAUCACAUCAAGUCCUCAUUUGAAAGAACCCGUGAUGACUCCUUGCCACAGACUCAUGCAGUGGGACCUAAGCCACAUUGUUAUUCUGCUUGCUGUUCUAAAACUCCAGGAUACAGAGCCUACUCAGACCAGAUCACUCCCAUUCAAACAGCACUCUACCUUCCAAAUGGUAUGCAAUGAGACAAAACUGACCCUCUGCGUCUUUUACUCUUCCAAAGAAACACAUUCUUAAUAAGAGUUUGAAACACUGGGGAUAAUAAAUAGAUAAAAUUGGCAAAAGUAGACUAAAGCAGCAAUCACAGAUACUGCAUGGGUCUAUACUAGGUCCUCUACGUGUAUGUUAUUGUUGUUUAGCUUGGGGUUUUUGUGGGACUCCUAACAAUGGGAAUGGGGAUAUCUCUGACUCUUUUGUCUGCUCUUGGGAUCCUUUUCCUCCUACUGGCUUGCCUCGUCCAGCCUUGAUAUGAAGGUUUGUGCAUAGUCUCAUUACAUCUGUGUUCAGUUAAUAUCCCUCGGAGUCCUGCUCUUUUCUGAAGGGAAAGAGAGGAGGAGUGGAUCUGUGGGAGGGGA